rnacentral:rRNA from 1 species
UACGUAGGGUGCGAGCGUUGUCCGGAAUUACUGGGCGUAAAGAGCUCGUAGGUGGUUUGUCGCGUUGUCCGUGAAAACUCACAACUCAAUUGUGGGCGUGCGGGCGAUACGGGCAGACUGGAGUACUGCAGGGGAGACUGGAAUUCCUGGUGUAGCGGUGGAAUGCGCAGAUAUCAGGAGGAACACCGGUGGCGAAGGCGGGUCUCUGGGCAGUAACUGACGCUGAGGAGCGAAAGCGUGGGGAGCGAUCCGG